ensembl:lncRNA
CAUGAACCCACUUGUGAAGUGUUACUGGAGCUGACGAGGUGUAAACGUGACUCGACAAAAAUGAGGUACCUCUGUGUGUACCAAUCUGUGUCUUCAGAUGGUUCAGAUGGCAAGUUCAAAACAUUGAGGAACUUCUUCUGCAAGGUCCUGAGUAAAAGGCAAGGAUGUCUGAGGGAAAAUCUGAGUCAUCGUAAGAGGGAAGAGAUGAAUAAUGUCCACCUUGAACUCUAGACACAGAUGAGAGCUUUCCAACCUGAUGUUGAGUGAAAAAGUCUGUUCCCUUCCUAGAAAAGAAAAAUGAGAGUUUGGGAGAAAAAGUGAAGAAGGAGGAGACAAAAGCUGUCCCCAAGCCGUCUAACUUCUUACUGAACAGUUAUAUCUUCCGGCAUCUUUCAGAGCAACUGGAGUUGCAGUGUCAGAACAUUGCACUAGUAAAUCCUCAGCUUGAUCCAGCAUAGCAUCCCUCUUGCAUUAGAAGCAUGCUGCAGGGCAGGCAGAUUCAUAUGGAUGUUGGUAAUGGUUAGCAACAUUUUGCUCUGUACAUACUUUGCUGCAGGGUCUUGAAUGAGAGCCACA